UGACGAAGUUAUCACGAACAUUGAACCUAGCGCACCACCUUCCGCUCCGGACAUCAUUCCAGUGUGGGUGGUAGUUCUGUCGGCCUGCGCAGGAAUGAUAAUCCUCUUGCUGCUCAUCUACUUGCUUCAUAAGUGCGGAUUCUUUAAGAGGAAUAGGCCUUCCGACGCUCCAGAAAGGCAACCGCUAAAUCGAAACGGUCAUUUCCAGCAAGGCGAGGAUCACUGAACAGCCUCCUUUUUCAAUUUCGUUCUAUCGAAGUUUUUGACCUUCUGGCUAUAUCGGAUUGAAUCGCAGACGAGAACCUGGCUACGCGAUCGAAGAGUGCCUUGGUCUUUUGAUAAUCAAAAGAACGCACAUUGCGUGGAUUCGCUUGGCGUAGUCUGCGGACGUGGUCCCGACUUCUACCGAAUAUCUUAAUAGCGUUUAACAGUGCCUUAAUUCACUGUCCAAGAUGAACAUCUGCUGAGGCGCAUGGAUUCUAAGUGACAAUCGAUUCGUCAUUCUUAUACUGCCACUGAAUACUCCUUCCAGCUCCUGCAGCUCGACCACGCAAGUUUCUAGUCAGGAGACGAUUUUCUGUUUUUAUUACCUGUAAUUACUUAAGCCGCCCGUACAGUCGGCAGAUACGAACGAAUAUUUCGACAUUCUUCGGUAAAUCGUAUCUUCAUGUAUAUAAGUAUAUAUAUGUUAUUUUUUUUAACGUUAUCCGGUAAAGCGUCUUGAUAUGUGCCCCGUCGCUUCCGCUGCCUUUUUACGGUAAAAUAGAAUUAUUUUUUUAUCCGCGUCCAAUUGGCACGAUCUCUAAAACGAUCUUGUAUCUUGUCAAUAACCAUCUCCAGCGGAACUCAUUCGAAAACAUUAUGGGUUCUUUCGUAAAGCUCCUUUUACACAAGACGGUGAUCAAAUGUUGCAUAUCGUGAACAUUAAAUUUACACGUCGUGAAAGAUGGCUUAUUGUUAAUUCUUCAGACGUCUUUUAAAUGUUUCCUCCAAGUUUUUGUAUUGUUUGUGAAUAAUGUAUUGUUAUCAGCAUUUCAAACAUUACUCACGACCGGUUUAAAAGGGAUCUAUAAAUCUCUUGAAAACAGCCUCGAAGACGCACGGGGCUCUUUUUAAUUAUUUAUUAAAUUUCUAUGUUAUAUAUAUAUAUAAUACUAUAAUUCGUAGGCUUGAGCGCCGUAAUAAUAGCGUGACUUACUAUGGUCGCACGCGCAAGACGCGAAUGUGUGUACAAUUUGUAAAUUAUUAAUUUACAUUACUAAAAUUUUAUAUCCACGAGAAGUGGUUUAACGCAAUAAUAUUCGAUUAGAAAGGAGACUUUUUAGUAUAAAUAGGAGAUUAGUGCUGACUUGUACAUACAACGUUAAGACAUAAUACGAAAAAAAAUAUAUGUAAUGAAAUUAACACACCAUUAUGCAUAUAUUGCUAAUUUUUUUUCUAAUAAAACUGUUAGGAGAAUAGCUUUGAUUAAUAUAAGUAAAGAAAGGAAAAUUAAAUCAGAUGUGAAUUUGUACAACUAUUUAUUGAAAAAUUACAAUGAUGUAACAGAGCGAUUGGUAAAAGAAACGUUUAAUUACCAUCUC